UUACGGCCAUAUCAUGUUGAGACACAAGUUCUCGUACGAUCACCGAAAUUAAGUAACUUCGAGCCUUGUCAGUACCUAGAUGGGUGACCGAAUUGGGAAUACCACGUAC